AAUAAUUAACUGAACAGGGGUGUGGUAAAAUAGGCAAAACUUCAUAAUGGCAUCGGAACAAUCGACUGAACCUGUGACCAUAGACCAUGCUGUGACUGAGCAGACUGAACCUCGGACAGAAUACCACGAGCAGGGGGAAGGACGAACUUUUAAUCAUCACCAGGAACUAAAUAGUUUAGAUGUUAAUCUUGUUAAUACGAGUAUUUUGGAGCAUAGUGGUCAAUUCUUUGAUCAUUUAUCAAUAAAAGAUGACACUGCUUCACCUCCAGAGACAGCAAUAGAUACACUAGUAUCAGAUAUGAUAGUAGUUGAACACGAAGACAGCAGGGAUGAUGAUGAUGUAGCUAGGUUUUUACGUGGUGAUCCUACUCCAUUAUUUGAACUUGAUAAACGUGCAAAAGACUUAGUUCUAAAAUUGGAUGACAUGGUUAAUGAACUUCAUUCUAACAUUGAUGCGAUGUCUAUUUGUGUACAUCAAGCAAUAUCACUUCAUAGUGAAUCAGUUGAUUCGGUACAUAACACUGUAGAUGGUGCUGUAAAGCUUCAUUUACACGUUUCAAAACAGAAAAGUUCAUGCGCAAAGCAUCGAAACAGUAAGCAGUAGUACCAUAUUAAUGGUUAUUUUAGGGAUUUAUAUUUUGCGAAAUCUACAAAAAUUCCAAUUCACAGAUUUUAAUUUUGCGAAUUCCACCACAUGUGCCAUGUGGGUAUUGUAUUAAAUUGAGUUUACAGAUUUUAUUUUCGUGAAUCAGGAAGUAAUUCACAAAAUUCAAGAAAAAAUUUCAACCAUCGAAAAAACCACUUACACAGUAUUAGGUAUAGGACUUCGCUGUGUUUACUUUUCCCACUUCACUAAAAUUUCUUUUAGCUUAAUUCCAGAACCUCUUGUUUCCCUUGUAUCUUGGGGCCUAUGCAAAUCAAGGAACAGCAUACUGUAAAAAUUAGCAAAUAAAUUUAUGUGCUAGAAAAUUUGUGUUUUAAAAUGUUGCUGCGAUUUAAUUUUAAAGAAUUCAGUAAAUUAAAAUCACUUAAAAAUCUCGAGAUAGAUGGUAUUUAAUAGCUGGAGAAGCCCGCCAAUGGAGUGUUUAGUGUUGUAGUCCAUGAUGUAACUUUCAAGCCAACUAUUUUUUAAGCGAUCAAAAAAUUAAUGCAUACAUAAGUCACAGUUAUGUACUCUUUAUCAUUCCAUAGUAUUUUUUUAAUAUGGUAAGCAUGAACUAGUAUAACUUCUGUUUGCAAAGCAGAUAUAAUAAUGAUGUGGUGUGUGAUGUCAAAUAAACCACUUCGUUACUUUUACCAAAAUGAAUUAAUUUUUA